rnacentral:rRNA from 1 species
AGCGAACGCUGGCGGCAUGCCUUACACAUGCAAGUCGAACGGCAGCACGGGAGCAAUCCUGGUGGCGAGUGGCGAACGGGUGAGUAAUGUAUCGGAACGUGCCCAGUCGUGGGGGAUAACGUAGCGAAAGCUACGCUAAUACCGCAUACGAUCUAUGGAUGAAAGCGGGGGACCGUAAGGCCUCGCGCGAUGGGAGCGGCCGAUAUCAGAUUAGGUAGUUGGUGGGGUAAAGGCCUACCAAGCCGACGAUCUGUAGCUGGUCUGAGAGGACGACCAGCCACACUGGGACUGAGACACGGCCCAGACUCCUACGGGAGGCAGCAGUGGGGAAUUUUGGACAAUGGGCGCAAGCCUGAUCCAGCAAUGCCGCGUGCAGGAUGAAGGCCUUCGGGUUGUAAACUGCUUUUGUACGGAGCGAAAAGGCUCUCUCUAAUACAGGGGGCUCAUGACGGUACCGUAAGAAUAAGCACCGGCUAACUACGUGCCAGCAGCCGCAGUAACAC